UAACUUUGAGCGGUGGAUCACUCGGCUUCGUGCCGUCGAUGAAGAGCGCAAGCCAGCUGGCGUGAAUUAAUGUGAAAUUGCAGAAACACAU
rnacentral:rRNA from 1 species